rnacentral:rRNA from 1 species
AUUGAACGCUGGCGGCAUGCUUUACACAUGCAAGUCGAACGGUAACAGGCCGCAAGGUGCUGACGAGUGGCGAACGGGUGAGUAAUGCAUCGGAACGUGCCCAGUCGUGGGGGAUAACUACUUGAAAGAGUAGCUAAUACCGCAUACGAUCUAUGGAUGAAAGCGGGGGACCGUAAGGCCUCGCGCGAUUGGAGCGGCCGAUGUCAGAUUAGGUAGUUGGUGGGGUAAAGGCUCACCAAGCCAACGAUCUGUAGCUGGUCUGAGAGGACGACCAGCCACACUGGGACUGAGACACGGCCCAGACUCCUACGGGAGGCAGCAGUGGGGAAUUUUGGACAAUGGGCGCAAGCCUGAUCCAGCAAUGCCGCGUGCAGGAAGAAGGCCUUCGGGUUGUAAACUGCUUUUGUACGGAACGAAACGGCUCUGGUUAAUACCCGGGGCUAAUGACGGUACCGUAAGAAUAAGCACCGGCUAACUACGUG